rnacentral:rRNA from 1 species
GUAGGUGGCAAGCGUUGUCCGGAAUUAUUGGGCGUAAAGCGCGCGCAGGCGGUUCUUUAAGUCUGAUGUGAAAGCCCACGGCUCAACCGUGGAGGGUCAUUGGAAACUGGAGAACUUGAGUACAGAAGAGGAAAGCGGAAUUCCACGUGUAGCGGCGAAAUGCGUAGAGAUGUGGAGGAACACCAGUGGCGAAGGCGGCUUUCUGGUCUGUAACUGACGCUGAGGCGCGAAAGCGUGGGGAGCAAACAGGGAUUAGAUACCCUGGUAGUCCACGCCGUAAACGAUGAGUGCUAAGUGUUAGGGGGUUUCCGCCCCCUUAGUGCUGCAGCUAACGCAUUAAGCACUCCGCCUGGGGAUACGGCCGCAAGGCUG